rnacentral:rRNA from 1 species
AGAGUUUGAUCCUGGCUCAGAACGAACGCUGGCGGCAUGCCUAACACAUGCAAGUCGAACGAAGCCUUCGGGCUUAGUGGCGCACGGGUGCGUAACGCGUGGGAAUCUGCCCUUGGGUUCGGAAUAACAGUUAGAAAUGACUGCUAAUACCGGAUAAUGUCUUCGGACCAAAGAUUUAUCGCCCAGGGAUGAGCCCGCGUAGGAUUAGCUAGUUGGUGAGGUAAAGGCUCACCAAGGCGACGAUCCUUAGCUGGUCUGAGAGGAUGAUCAGCCACACUGGGACUGAGACACGGCCCAGACUCCUACGGGAGGCAGCAGUGGGGAAUAUUGGACAAUGGGCGAAAGCCUGAUCCAGCAAUGCCGCGUGAGUGAUGAAGGCCUUAGGGUUGUAAAGCUCUUUUACCCGGGAUGAUAAUGACAGUACCGGGAGAAUAAGCCCCGGCUAACUCCGUG